rnacentral:rRNA from 1 species
AGAGUUUGAUCCUGGCUCAGGACGAACGCUGGCGGCGUGCUUAACACAUGCAAGUCAGGGAUACCGAGGUAGCAAUAUCUCGGGACACCGGCGCACGGGUGAGUAACACGCAGGUAACCUACCUUUAGGUCUGGAAUAACCCGUCGAAAGGCGGAUUAAUACCGGAUAAUUCAGUGGCUCCGCAUGGAGCUGCUGUUAAACCCCGCAAGGGGGCCGAUAGAUGGACCUGCGUCCCAUUAGAUAGUUGGCGGGGUAACGGCCCACCAAGUCUACGAUGGGUAGCUGAUCUGAGAGGAUGAUCAGCCACACUGGAACUGAGACACGGUCCAGACUCCUACGGGAGGCAGCAGUGAGGAAUAUUGCGCAAUGGACGAAAGUCUGACGCAGCGACGCCGCGUGAAGGAUGAAGGCUCUUUGAGUCGUAAACUUCUGUAGAGAGGGAAGAAUUGCUCGUUAUACGGGCUUGACGGUACCUCUAAAGUAAGGAUCGGCCAACUACGUGCCAGCAGCCGCGGUAAUACGUAGGAUCCGAGCGUUGUCCGGAUUUAUUGGGUGUAAAGGGAGCGCAGGCGGGUCUAUAAGUCGAGGGUGAAAUCUUACAGCUUAACUGUAAAACUGCCUUCGAUACUGUAGAUCUUGAGUGUAGGAAAGGGCGAUGGAAUUCAUGGUGUAGCGGUGAAAUGCGUAGAUAUCAUGAAGAACACCAGUUGCGAAGGCGGUCGCCUAGCCUAUUACUGACGCUCAUGCUCGAAAGUGUGGGGAGCAAACAGGAUUAGAUACCCUGGUAGUCCACACCUUAAACGAUGAAUACUAGGUGUCGGGUCGCAAGACUCGGUGCCAAAGCUAACGCAUUAAGUAUUCCACCUGGGGAGUACGAUCGCAAGGUUGAAACUCAAAGGAAUUGACGG